rnacentral:rRNA from 1 species
AUGAACGCUGGCGGCGUGCCUCAUACAUGCAAGUCGAGCGAACAGACGAGGAGCUUGCUCCUCUGACGUUAGCGGCGGACGGGUGAGUAACACGUGGAUAACCUACCUAUAAGACUGGGAUAACUUCGGGGAACCGGAGCUAAUACCGGAUAAUAUAUUGAACCGCAUGGUUCAAUAGUGAAAGACGGUUUUGCUGUCACUUAUAGAUGGAUCCGCGCCGCAUUAGCUAGUUGGUAAGGUAACGGCUUACCAAGGCAACGAUGCGUAGCCGACCUGAGAGGGUGAUCGGCCACACUGGAACUGAGACACGGUCCAGACUCCUACGGGAGGCAGCAGUAGGGAAUCUUCCGCAAUGGGCGAAAGCCUGACGGAGCAACGCCGCGUGAGUGAUGAAGGUCUUCGGAUCGUAAAACUCUGUUAUUAGGGAAGAACAAAUGUGUAAGUAACUAUGCACGUCUUGACGGUACCUAAUCAGAAAGCCACGGCUAACUACGUG